UACGUAGGUGACCAGCGUUGUCCGGAUUUACUGGGCGUAAAGAGCGCGCAGGCGGUCGUUCAAGUCGAGUGUGAAAGCCCCCGGCUCAACUGGGGAGGGUCACUCGAUACUGAUCGACUUGAAGGCAGGAGAGGGAAGCGGAAUUCCCGGUGUAGUGGUGAAAUGCGCAGAUAUCAGGAGGAACACCGGUGGCGAAGGCGGGUCUCUGGGCCGAUACUGACGCUGAGGAGCGAAAGCGUGGGGAGCGAACAGG
rnacentral:rRNA from 1 species